GAAACCCUAGCCAACACUGUUCCCCCAACCCUCUCUUCCUCUCUCGCUCUCUCCCCUGCCCUUGCGACGGCGCCGCCCUGUGUUCUCCUCGCCGCCAACGGCCUCACCGCCGCCGCCGCCGCCUUUGUUCCCUUCCCUGCUUCUCCUUGCCGACGACGGCCUCCCCCUCCCCAAUCUGGUGCUAGCUAGGGAUGGGAUCGAGGAGGGAGGCGGCAGGGAACGUAGCAGCGAGAGGCGUCAGUGGGCCGCGAGGCUUGCGCCGCGAGCCCCCAUAGCCGGGGGAGAGAAGGGCGCUAGGAAGGGGAGCAGGCGGCAGGGAGAGCGAGGGAGGAGGAAGGGUGGCGUGGGAGCAGUCCUUUCAAGGCACUCAAGACAGCGCCAGCUAUGUCCGGUGACGGUGUGCUCUGUCUCGACGGCCGGGGCUCGAGGUCGGUGGCGAGGCAGUCCGAUGGAUUUGCAUCUCAGGGGUCAGGAUGGAUGGAUUUAUUGCAGAACGGAUCCAUCAAUAUAUUUGCCGUCACCUUCAUGCAUUCCUCUGUGAUUAGGAAUGGAGAUCUGAGAGUUGAUACUAUUUGUUGCGUACUAAGCUCUAUAUGGGGAAAUUUUGCAAAUUUUUUGGUGCAGAAAACAUGAGCAGAAGGAGAUAUUGGAUGACUGACGAACUCACUUCGUUGCCGAAGUAACAUUAUUUGAUCUCUUCAGGUUCUCUCCCCUCUAUCAUUCUACCAUUUAUUCUUUGCUAUUUUGUUAGGCUAUCUAGCAGUAAAAAUUUGUGCCCUUUUAUAAUUUCCUCAAAAUGCUGGAAACUCCUAUUCUGAUUCUCUGCUGUUUCAGUGGCAAUAAUAGAUCUGGGUUUGGCAAAGUUCCAUUUUCUACUAUUUGUUGGUGAAAAAAUGAGGCUACCAUUCUCCUCCUGCAAAAUAAAUCAGGGUAGCGAUGCAGUCUAUAUAUAAAUAAGUGUAUGCUUCCCAUAUUCCAAUCCUUGUGACCUAGAUAAUGCCAAACAAAUUCAUCGUCAUUUUCUCAUGCAAUAUAUUGCCAUCACCUCCGUGCAGCAUGUCGAUUUCUAUACAAAGGCAUGACACGAGACAUUAUUUAGUGGCCUCUGUAAAUUCAAAUGAUGUUAAUUUCUGAGUUCAGUAAAACAUGUAGCAGUUCAUCUCUUAUGCUGAAGAAAGAUACCAGUUUUACUAUGUCAGCUGUUGGUUUGUUUAGGUGGGUUUGCACGCGGUGUACUCAAUCCUGAAUGUUUAGGUUACUGAUGAGAUGCCAUGUAUAUUGGUAAUUUUGUGUCACAAUUUCAGAUUUCAGAACCGUGUCAGUACAAAAAUCAGCUAAAAAUGGUGAGUACCAUAUUAGUGAAACAAUUCACUGUCAGUUCUUUGUGUUAAGCAAAUCAAAUACCGUUAUUGCCAGAAUGCAAAUUACAACAGUUCUAGCUUCCAUCUCAAAAUAUGGGUGCUUGCAGAGUUGUUUCAUUGGUUUACCCUUAGUACUAUUAUCUUGGUGCUCAUAUCUUCUAUGCAACAAAAAAUUGUUCUAAACUCUAUGUAAUUGUAGAUGUGAUAUAUAAUCAUUUUCAUGUAUUUUUUUAAAAUUACGUAGUUUCUUAAUUUAUCAAAUGAUAGGGCUCCACGAAGCACAAAAAAGGUAAAUACUGAAAGAUAAGUUCUGUGCACUUUGAGUUUUAUUUUCUUUCUUGGAACUCAGGACUUCUGAUGAUGAUAGAUUGAUAGCUCUAUUUUAUUCAUUCAUGCAUAUUUGCUUCAUAUUGUUCUUGAUUCAGUAGCUAGGCUGGUUGAGAGGGAUAAUUGAUAAAUUGUAUUUCCUAUCUUCUGAGAUUUCUUCUAACCGUGCAUGUCAGCUAAAACUAUGGCAUAAAAUCCAUAUUGCAAGUAUGGAGCUGGUGAGGUGCUUGACUGAUGGGGAGACAUUGUGAGGUGCUCGGCGCUGUCGGCAAGCCUUUGCUGGUCAUUAGGCCAACAAGGUGUAUUGCAGUGGCAGAGCAAGCCAGCCUGAAAAUUGCCUCCAGAUUUGCUGCAGCGGCAGAGCAAGCCUGAAAAUUGCCUCCAAAUUUGCUCUUUACAUGGUGAUAAAAUUAGGCUAUAAUGGUUGUAUUUUUUAGGUUGAACUGCAAACAUAUCAUUGUUGGUAUGACUGCAUGGAUAAUUUUGUUAACGGAUGUGCUAUGGUUCACACGUGCAGAUGUCUGUGGCCCUUCUUCCUCGGACAUUAUUUUUAUUAUCAUCAUCUAGGUUAGGAUAGAGGGCUUUUAAAAGAAAAUACUCUCUUAUUUGGUACGCAAAAUCCUACAGAUCUGAAUGCUCUUUUAUUUCAUAUGUAGUGCUUCCUGAAUCGUUUGUAUAAUUGUAUUUCCAUAGAGCUAGACCCUUUCGUCUCAAUUAUUUGUUUCUUUUCAUGUAUGAACAUUCUUUUUUUCGAUUGCCAAACCAGGUUGUUUGCCUGAUAAAUGAUAAUGUAACAAUGGUAACAGUAAGUUAAAAAAAAGGAUGAUGAUCAGUUUGAUGCA